GUUCACUCUUGCCCUGUGACCACUCCAUCCUUGGAUGAGGACGUGGACAGCAGCCAUCAGUCGCUGCUUCCUUCUGAAUGUGUCGAGCCUUCACCCUACAAUGGCAACACAGUUCACUCUUGCCCUGUGACCACUCCAUCCUUGGAUGAGGACGUGGACAGCAGCCAUCAGUCGCUGCUUCCUUCUGAAUGUCUCGAGCCUUCACCCUACAAUGGCAACACAUCAUUAAAGUGUAGCACCUUAAACUCGGGAAAAAAACAAACUCAAAUUGAAAGGCGGCGUGCCUUUCUUUUGCACCAGCGUGCGCUGCUUGAUCAACAGCUAGAAGAGUUGGAUAAUGUGAGUAUCAUCUAGGUAUUUGUGUGGCCUCUCUCUUCAUUUUUACUUUAUGUAUUUUAAUACAACCUUUUUAAAAACAUUUUAGUUGUCAUACAAAAAGAUAUUGAAACUGGUGAAUUAAGAUCAUUUUAAUUUUAUGUGCAUUUUUUUUUUGAAUUACUUUAAUUGUGGUAUAUGACUUAUAACAUUGUUUGUAUGUUUUUCAAUUACCAGGUUUCAGCUACUACCAUCUACUGCCAAAUUCUCAGAAAUGUAAAUUUCAUGGAUUCAUGCAGUAACUCAUGAGUUUAACCCAAAACUAAAAUCUGGACAAAGUCAGGUGGUUUUCUUCAUCUCUCAUCAUGAAAAUUAUUUAUUGGCCCUAAUUAAUGAAGGGAAUCAAGGAGUCAAUCUGAAUGUGUUAAUCAGUUCUGCAGUUUCAAUUCAAAUUGCAGUAAAAAAAAAAUACUGCAUUACUUGAAACAAAUUCUCAAUUGAUUUGAAUUGUUUAAACUUUAGUAUUUCACUGCCUGAAUCAUGCUGAUUUGUCUACAUUGGCAUUAUUGUAUGGCAUCAAUGUACAAUCAAAUGUGGAAAAGAAUCGAUUAUUUUUAUUUCUUUUAGUCCAAAGAAGAUACUUCGGCUGAAUCGAUGGAUGAGAGUAGUCAUACUGACUACAGUGAUGCUGAUUACAUCCCUGACUCUACUGGAUCUGGCUCUGAUGACAGUACAUUUCUGUCUUCUGAAAACAAACUACAGACUUUACGAUGGCUUCAAUUAAUGCCAGUUGAUAAUAGUUCAGUAAAAGAAAGCAGCUCAGCUCUCAGCCGAAACAAAGACAGUAGCACUGAGGAAGACUACACAGGAAGGAAGUAUAGACCAACAGGGAAAAAGACAAUCGGCCAAAAGAGAAAGAGGAACUCAUCACUCCGUCAUGAGAAAGUCAGUUCAUCUAUCAGCCCAGAGACAGCAGACCCUUCAAUUCAAAUAAUGUGUACCUCAAAUGAUGAAGAUCAUCAUGUGACUGGCAGGAGGAACUAUUGCCUUUAUUGUUCCAAGCCAACAUCAAAAAUCUCACGACAUCUCAAAACUGUUCAUCGCAAUAAACCGGAGGUUGCAAAAGCACUUUAUUAUCCAGAGGAUUCCAAAGAAAGGAAAGUUCGCCUUGCCACUCUAAGGAACAGGGGAAACUUUGCUCACAAUACAGAUGUAGUGAGAAAAGGAACAGGACAUCUUGUUGUACGAUAUCGAACAAAGAAGAUCAGACAUGCUAAGGAUUUUAUUCACUGUGCAUAUUGCCAAGGUCUUUACUCAAAAAAGACAUUAUGGAAACAUAUGAAAGGCUGUCACGAGAAGCCAAGAAAGGAUGCACCUGAAGCUGGCCGAAAGAGAGUUCGAUCUCUGUGUGCUCUGACCACACCUGUCAGCGUUGAGAUUAGUGAAGGCCUCCGGGAAAUUUUAACAAAAAUGCACUAUGAUGAAGUGUCACAUGCUGUUCAAGAAGACAACUGCAUCCUGCAACUGGGACAAUAUAUGUUCAACAAACUGAAGAAUAAAGGGAAUAAUGAGGACUACAUAAGGCAAAAGAUGCGAGAAGUUGGAAGACUGGUCCUCGAGGCUCAAAAAGUUACACCACUCAAGAGAUUGGAGGAAUUUUUCAUUCCUAAGAACUUCCCACAUGUAAUAGCUGCAGUGAAGAAGACGGCAGGAUACAAUCCUGAAACCAAUGCUUAUCAAACCCCGUCUUUAGCACUCAAGCUUGGCCACAGUCUAAAAAAAAUAUCCAGUAUAGUUGAGAGUGAUGCUAUGAUGAUGGGUGAUAAUGUUAUGGCAGAAUAUGCCAAAAGGUACAGAUCAAUACAUGAUAGCAGAUGGGAGGAGUUCAUCUCCUCUGCAGCAUUAAACACCCUAAAAGAGGCAAAAUGGAAUAUGCCACAGAUUCUACCUUUUGCAGAAGAUGUGAAGUUGUUAAACUUCCAUAUGGAAAAACAGCAAAGUGUCGCAGAGAGAAUGCUGAGAAUCUCUCCCACUCCAGAAAACUAUGCUGCCCUAGCUCAAGUAACGCUUGCUUUAGCCAUUACAUUCAACAGGAGAAGAGCAGGAGAGGUGUCAAGAAUGUUGCUGACUGCCUUUAGGUCCCGUGACAAGUCAGUGUUGCAUGAUGAUGUGGCUAUCUGCUUGACUCCAUUUGAGAAGAAAAUGUGUGAGUACUUCACAAGAGUCGAAAUCCGAGGGAAAAGGGGUAGGAUGGUUCCUGUCCUCCUAAAACCAUCCAUGGUGAUGGCUAUGGAGUUGCUAGUUGAGAUGCGAGAGCUGUGCCAUGUACCCAGUGAUAAUGUGUUCAUGUUUGGAAGACCAGAAUCAUCGUCAGCCUAUCGAGGGGGCGAGUGUCUUAAAAAAUUUACUCAACUAUGUGGUGCCCAACAUCCUGAGGCACUGACUUCAACAAAGCUUCGAAAACAUAUUGCAACUAUGUCACAGGUCCUGAACCUUGAGGAAAAUGAUUGUGAUCAAUUGGCUGACUUUUUAGGCCAUGAUAUUCGCAUCCACAGACAGUAUUAUCGGUUGCCUCAAGGAACGCUGCAGCUGGCCAGAAUGAGCAAAGUGCUGCUGGCUAUGGAGGGGGGGACUGUGUCAAAGUACAAAGGCAUGACACUGGAGGAUAUCGAAAUUGACCCCGAAGAGACAGUGACACACUCCAAUGAAGCACCUUCAAGUGACACCUCUGAAGAAGAGUGUACCAACACUGAAAUGGAGAACAUACUGCCUGUCACAGACACACCUGCAUCUUUGGCGCAAGCACCUGCUGCUACUCAACCUAGACCAGUACGAGCAGAGAGACACAGGCGUAAAUGGACAACAGAAGAAGCUCAGGCAGUGGAGAAACACCUGAUGAACUUCAUCACAACAUUCACAGUACCUGCCAAGCACGAUUGCAUGCUCUGUCUGCAAAAUGAAUCGGAGACUCUGAAAGAUCGAACCUGGACGGAUGUAAAACACUAUGUGAGAAACAGAAUUACUGCCCUGAAGAGGCAAACAAGCAUUUAAAAGCUUUCCUAUUUCUAUCCUUGUUCAUUCACCAUGUUAAUUUUCAAUAAGGUAAGCUAAGCAACUUUCUGUUUAAUACUUAAUUUUCAGACUAUUUCUUGCCUUGACAGUUCUAAGAGGUGUUAUGUUUUGGUGAUGUCAGCUGUGUUACAUAGUCAUUUGAUUUCAGCUGUUUUGUAGUCAUUCAUUUGGAAUUGGGGGAGGUACCAAUAUAUACAUUCAUACCUACCAUACAUACGUUACAUAAAUGUCAACUUUCCUGAAGACUCUAGGAGCAGCAGGACAUAAUUCAGAGCUGGAGAGCCUGUAAUUGUUUUGAAUUCAUUUUGCAAUUGUUGAUUUUGUUAUGAAAAGCCCAAUGUUGGUAUUACCUGUGUUCUGAUCCACAUGCAGGUCACGUGGAUCCCCUUUUCUUUUUUGGAACACUUUAUAAUUACUGGUACAACUAUCGUUCUGUUUUGUGUUGCUUCAGUGAGCAUUAAACUGAUUUCAGGAAGCUCUGGCCCUGCAUUGACAUGAAUCUCUAUAGUGGCCAUUUGCCAUAAACAAACAAAAAGUCCAAUUCAAACUUGACUAUCAUAAUUAACUGACUUAAAAGAAAUAAGACCCCAAAGAUAACUUAUAUUAGGAAAUGUGUAUAAUCAAGGUCCCCAAAGGUUUGUCCCAGAUUGUCCCCAAACUGCUGUUAAAAAUCAGACUGCAGAAAAAAGGCUUUAAAAAAUCAAAUCAAACGAUUUUGGUAUUAAGGAUUUUUUUCUGAAUCCAAAAAUGUUCGCACCUUCUCUCUAAACCAUUCAGAAAGUUGGGUUCGGAAAGGUGGGGUGUUCGUUCAUCCGCUCCCAAUUGUCGUCUAAGUAGGUAUGUGUGUGUGUGCGUGUGUGUGUGUGUGUGUGUGUGUGUUGCUCGAGCAACACUCACCUCAAAGCCACAAAACCAAAAGGUUAAGAGUUUUGCCAGGUGUGGAGCCUCCACCAGUAAGGAAUCCCAUUAUUUCUGCGUACAGCCCUGAGACAUUUGAACAUG
ensembl:lncRNA